rnacentral:ncRNA from 2 species
UUCUUAUCAAGAGUGGCGGAGGGACUGGCCCCAUGAAGCCCGGCAACCCAGAUACAUUUGUUUUAAUACGUUUGUUUUGAAGGUGCUAAAUCCAGCAGGUGAAUACCUGACAGAUAAGGG